UCCGGUUUGACACCGGCAGUCUCGUUAGAGUCCCCGCCACCCGAAGGCGCGCUGGCAACUAACGACAGGGGUUUCGCUCGUUAAGGGACUUAACCCGACACUUCACAGCACGAGCUGACGACAGCCAUGCAGCACCUGUGUACGUUCCACCUGAAAGGCGUGGCUCCGCUUUCACAGAGUUAAUCCGUACAUGUCAAACCCAGGAUAAGGUUCUUCGCGUUGCUUCGAAUUAAGCCACAUGCUCCACCGCUUGUGUGAGCCCCCGUCAAUUCCUUUGAGUUUUAGCCUUGCGACCGUACUCCCCAGGCGGUGCACUAAUCACUUUUGCUUCGACCCCGGGGGCGUCAGAGCCUCCAAGAUCUAGUGCACAUCGUUUACGGCGUGGACUAC
rnacentral:misc_RNA from 1 species